rnacentral:rRNA from 1 species
GACGAACGCUGGCGGCGUGCUUAACACAUGCAAGUCGAACGGAAAGGCCCCUUUGGGGGUACUCGAGUGGCGAACGGGUGAGUAACACGUGAGUAACCUGCCCUUGACUUCGGGAUAACUUCAGGAAACUGGGGCUAAUACCGGAUAGGAAUCCUUGCUGCAUGGUGGGGGUUGGAAAGCUUCGGCGGUUUUGGAUGGACUCGCGGCUUAUCAGCUUGUUGGUGGGGUAGUGGCUUACCAAGGCUUUGACGGGUAGCCGGCCUGGGAGGGCGACCGGCCACAUUGGGACUGGGAUUCGGCCCAGACUCCUACGGGAGGCAGCAGGGGGGAAUAUUGCACAAUGGGCGGGAGCCUGAUGCAGCAACGCCGCGUGCGGGAUGACGGCCUUCGGGUUGUAAACCGCUUUCAGCAGGGGCGAAGCUUGUGGUGACGGUACCUGCAGAAGAAGCACCGGCUAACUACGUG